rnacentral:rRNA from 1 species
AUACGGAGGGAGCAAGCGUUGUUCGGAAUUACUGGGCGUAAAGAGCACGUAGGCGGCAGUGUAAGUCAGAUGUGAAAUCCUGCGGCUCAACCGUAAGAAUUGCAUCUGAUACUGCGCAGCUUGAGUACAGGAGAGGAGAGCGGAAUUCCCAGUGUAGCGGUGGAAUGCGUAGAUAUUGGGAAGAACACCGGUGGCGAAGGCGGCUCUCUGGACUGAUACUGACGCUGAGGUGCGAAAGCUAGGGGAGCAAACAGGAUUAGAUACCCCAGUAGUCC